GCUGAGGCCUCCAGGGAGGUCUUGGCCUGUCAGAUGCUGAGGGGUCGAGGGCCAGCCCAUUGGAGCCAAGUGUCUUGGACCCUCUGUGGCUCUGGCCGCCCAUUCCUUGGCUGCCACUUCUGCCCUUGACACAGCCCUUGGCCACCACCCUCCGUGAUGGCGCACCCCCAUCUGUGCCCAGCCUGCACAGGGACCCUCUUUUCCGUCCUCUCCACUGGCUGGGUGUCCCGCCUCCCGCAGAGACAGUUUCCCGAGGGCCCGGACAGCCCGGCCCACCUCUGAGCCUUUGUGCCCGGGCAGCCAGACCCUGAUACUGAGGCUGGUGUCUGCCCACUGCCCUGAAGGACUUGGGGCACGCUAAGUGCCAGCGAGCUUCUGGCUGGUCGCGCUGCCCGGGCCGGUGUUGCCAAGCAAGCUUCCUUCCUUCCCCGGCAGGUCAUUGGGAUGGACCGGCCAUCUGGAGCUCAGGCCGGUUGUGGGACACUGUUGGCCCCAUCACAAAAUAAAGCCAUAUUGAACGAUGGCCACCAGUGUCUUGUCUGGGAGCCUCGAGGUUUCAA